UCCGUGCUCUGGUGACAAUGACAAAAUGC
rnacentral:piRNA from 1 species